UCUUUCUACCCUUUUCCUCCCUUCUCUCCUCACUCAUAGUUGAGUAGAUUGAGAGGGCGGGUAUUGGAGUUGAGAGUUUUCCCCCCUUCUGUUCUUGCUGGGUUUUGC
rnacentral:ribozyme from 1 species